UGAGUAACCUGCCCUGGACUUUGGGAUAACCCUCGGAAACGGGGGCUAAUACCGGAUAUGACGGCUCACCGCAUGGUGUGGUUGUGGAAAGUUUUUCGGUCUGGGAUGGGCUCGCGGCCUAUCAGCUUGUUGGUGGGGUGAUGGCCUACCAAGGCGACGACGGGUAGCCGGCCUGAGAGGGCGACCGGCCACAUGGGACUGAGCACGGCCAGACUCCUACGGGAGGCA
rnacentral:rRNA from 1 species